rnacentral:rRNA from 1 species
UUGAACGCUGGCGGCUGGCGGCAGGCUUAACACAUGCAAGUCGAGCGAGAAAGCCUUCGGGUGAGUACAGCGGCGGACGGGUGAGUAAUGCAUGGGAAUCUGCCUGGUAGUGGGGGACAACAGUUGGAAACGACUGCUAAUACCGCAUACGCCCUACGGGGGAAAGUGGGGGACCUUCCGGGCCUCACGCUACUAGAUGAGCCCAUGUCAGAUUAGCUAGUUGGUGGGGUAAUGGCCUACCAAGGCGACGAUCUGUAGUUGGUCUGAGAGGAUGAUCAGCCACACUGGGACUGAGACACGGCCCAGACUCCUACGGGAGGCAGCAGUGGGGAAUAUUGCACAAUGGGCGCAAGCCUGAUGCAGCCAUGCCGCGUGUGUGAAGAAGGCCUUCGGGUUGUAAAGCACUUUAAGCAGUGAGGAAAGGUUGAUGGUUAAUAGCCAUCAGCUGUGACGUUAACUGCAGAAUAAGCACCGGCUAACUCCGUGCCAGCAGCCGCGGUAAUACGGAUGGUGCAAGCGUUAAUCGGAAUUACUGGGCGUAAAGCGCACGUAGGCGGCUUUUUAAGCUAGAUGUGAAAGCCCUGGGCUCAACCUGGGAACUGCAUUUAGAACUGGAAGGCUAGAGUAUGGUAGAGGAGUGUGGAAUUUCAGGUGUAGCGGUGAAAUGCGUAGAGAUCUGAAGGAACAUCAGUGGCGAAGGCGACACUCUGGACCCAUACUGACGCUGAGGUGCGAAAGCGUGGGUAGCAAACAGGAUUAGAUACCCUGGUAGUCCACGCCGUAAACGAUGUCUACUAGCCCAUUGGGUUCCUUGAGGACUUAGUGGCGCAGCUAACGCAUUAAGUAGACCGCCUGGGGAGUACGGCCGCAAGGUUAAAACUCAAAUGAAUUGACGGGGGCCCGCACAAGCGGUGGAGCAUGUGGUUUAAUUCGAUGCAACACGAAGAACCUUACCUACCCUUGACAUCCAGAGAAUCUGUUAGAGAUAGUAGAGUGCCUUCGGGAACUCUGAUACAGGUGCUGCAUGGCUGUCGUCAGCUCGUGUAGUGAGAUGUUGGGUUAAGUCCCGUAACGAGCGCAACCCUUAUCCUUAGUUGCUACCAUUUAGUUUUGGGCACUUUAAGGAGACUGCCGGUGAUAAACCGGAGGAAGGUGGGGACGACGUCAAGUCAUCAUGGCCCUUAUGGGUAGGGCUACACACGUGCUACAAUGGCUGGGACAGAGGGGCGCUAACUUGCGGAGUACGCUAAUCCCUUAAAGCCGGUCCUAGUCCGGAUUGGAGUCUGCAACUCGACUCCAUGAAGCUGGAAUCGCUAGUAAUCGCGGAUCAGAAUGCCGCGGUGAAUUCGUUCCCGGGCCUUGUACACACCGCCCGUCACACCAUGGGAGUGGGUUGCAAAAGAAGUGGGUAGGCUAACCUUCGGGAGGCCGCUCACCACUUUGUGAUUCAU